rnacentral:rRNA from 1 species
AGAAUCAACGCUGGCGGCGUGCCUAACACAUGCAAGUCGAACGAGAAAGUGGAGCAAUCCAUGAGUAAAGUGGCGACCGGGUGAGUAACACGUGACUAACCUACCUUCGAGUGGGGGAUAACCUCGGGAAACCGAGGCUAAUACCGCAUAACAUCGCAAGAUCAAAGCAGCAAUGCGCUGGAAGAGGGGGUCGCGGCUGAUUAGCUAGUUGGCGGGGUAACGGCCCACCAAGGCGAAGAUCGGUAGCCGGCCUGAGAGGGCGCACGGCCACACUGGAACUGAAACACGGUCCAGACUCCUACGGGAGGCAGCAGUGGGGAAUAUUGCGCAAUGGGCGGAAGCCUGACGCAGCGACGCCGCGUGCGGGAUGAAGGCCUUCGGGUUGUAAACCGCUUUCACCAGGGGCGAAGCGAGAGUGACGGUACCUGGGGAAGAAGCGCCGGCUAACUACGUGCCAGCAGCCGC